AGGAAUAUUGGUCAAUGGGCGAGAGCCUGAACCAGCCAAGUAGCGUGAAGGAUGACUGCCCUAUGGGUUGUAAACUUCUUUUAUAAAGGAAUAAAGUCGGGUAUGGAUACCCGUUUGCAUGUACUUUAUGAAUAAGGAUCGGCUAACUCCGUGCCAGCAGCCGCGGUAAUACGGAGGAUCCGAGCGUUAUCCGGAUUUAUUGGGUUUAAAGGGAGCGUAGAUGGAUGUUUAAGUCAGUUGUGAAAGUUUGCGGCUCAACCGUAAAAUUGCAGUUGAUACUGGAUGUCUUGAGUGCAGUUGAGGCAGGCGGAAUUCGUGGUGUAGCGGUGAAAUGCUUAGAUAUCACGAAGAACUCCGAUUGCGAAGGCAGCCUGCUAAGCUGCAACUGACAUUGAGGCUCGAAAGUGUGGGUAUCAAACAGGAUUAGAUACCCUGGUAGUCCACACGGUAAACGAUGAAUACUCGCUGUUUGCGAUAUACGGCAAGCGGCCAAGCGAAAGCGUUAAGUAUUCCACCUGGGGAGUACGCCGGCAACGGUGAAACUCAAAGGAAUUGACGGGGGCCCGCACAAGCGGAGGAACAUGUGGUUUAAUUCGAUGAUACGCGAGGAACCUUACCCGGGCUUAAAUUGCACUCGAAUGAUCCGGAAACGGUUCAGCUAGCAAUAGCGAGUGUGAAGGUGCUGCAUGGUUGUCGUCAGCUCGUGCCGUGAGGUGUCGGCUUAAGUGCCAUAACGAGCGCAACCCUUGUUGUCAGUUACUAACAGGUGAUGCUGAGGACUCUGACAAGACUGCCAUCGUAAGAUGUGAGGAAGGUGGGGAUGACGUCAAAUCAGCACGGCCCUUACGUCCGGGGCUACACACGUGUUACAAUGGGGGGUACAGAGGGCCGCUACCACGCGAGUGGAUGCCAAUCCCUAAAACCCCUCUCAGUUCGGACUGGAGUCUGCAACCCGACUCCACGAAGCUGGAUUCGCUAGUAAUCGCGCAUCAGCCACGGCGCGGUGAAUACGUUCCCG
rnacentral:rRNA from 1 species